GCAUUUGGGCCUGAUCCAAAGCUCACUGAAGUCAAUGGGAGUCUUUCCAUAGACUUCAAUAAGCUCUGGAUCAGGCUUAUGUUGA
rnacentral:pre_miRNA from 1 species